rnacentral:lncRNA from 1 species
UCCCUCAAAACUCACAUGCACAUACACACUCUUUUUCCUUGGCCACCAAUUAAUCCAUAUAACUACAACUAUACCUUCCACUCAUAAAUACACACAAUUAGACACAGACGGGGAAGCUAAAAAAGAAACAAAAAACGAAGGGGGGACCACACGGUAUGGGGGGGGGUUUUUCUAUUAACCUUCUUCCCAAGUAACUAAUAGGGGGAUUCACUCCAAAAAUACACACACACACACAGAGAAUAAAAGAGGAAGAGAAAAUGUGAAAUAAAAAUGAAAAACGGAUCUGGGAAUAGAUAUAGAGAGAGGAAGGCUGGAAAGUGAUUUGGCUUUCACCUUCUUCGUUGCUUCUUCUUCUUCUUCUUCACCUUUUUCCUCCACCUUAAACUGCCAUAAAAAUGCCAACCCAGUAGCUCCCCAAACCACCGGCGAAAUAGAGCUUCCUUUCCUCCAUCAAAAGCUCUGCCAAACAACUAUUGAAACACUUCCAAAACCAGUUUCGAAAAAUCAGUCCAAAUCCACCCAGAAAUAGUGCCAAAACCACCCUGAAACAGUUGUAACUCCAUUGAUUUUCUUGCUACCACUUCAGCUAUUCAACCAUCAGCAAAGCGUCAUCCAAAACAGCCCUAAUCACCUUCAUAACCUUAGAAAAAUAGCCACUAAAUCACUAGUUUGCAAGGUCGAUCGAGAUUGCAAGCCGUAAUUUUCCGUUCGAGGCUUUGUCACCGGUUUGAGGUUCGCAUCAGUAGCUCGUCUUGUCUGCCGCUUUGGAAAUUUUCUUUCAUUGUACAUGGUGAAAAUUUGCAUCAAUAGAGGUCCAUUUCUAAAUUUCUUCUUCAAUGUUUCUUGAAUGAUUCCUGUGAAUGAGUUUGAUAAAGAUGGUUAUCUUCUGUGCCUUGAAAUUCUAUCUUGGUGUACAAUUUGGUUAAAUUAGAUCGGUUGCUAAUGUGCGUAUAUGCUAAAUUUCGUUUUAGGAAAGUCAUUUGAAUUAAUACAUUGAGUCGGCAAGAACGUGAGUUAACCGAGGUUUUAACUUCUUUAAUUAGUUUGAUUGAUCUACUAGAAUUGAAUGUUUUACCUCAAUUAAAUGGGCUGAAUUAGUUUAGCAGAACUUAUAAUAAUAUUUGGCCACGAACUUGUCAUUAAAUGAGAGGAAAUUUGAUUUUAUUGGGUCUAUUGCUUAUUUAGUCAAUUAUUAGGCCAUGAGUUUGACGUUAAAUAAAAGAAAAUUAGAGUUUAUUACUUUAUUCAGUUAAUUAGUCAUAAGAGCAUGCUAGGCCGUUAAUACUCGGGUAGGCAAACUAUAGAAUGCUUUUGGCGUGUGCUAAUCUAUUAUCAUGGUUACGUAUACGUUUUCGUGGCAUAAUUAUGAUUUUCCACAAAUAAAUCAAAGUACGCGUUCGCGCGACUUUGGCCGGACAAUCCUCAUAGUAAUAAAAUGUUAUUAAUUGUGUACAUGUACGCGCGACAUGAUUCUUACCAUACCAAACUAAAUGAGUACACGUACGCGUGACUCGUUUUAAAAUAAUUCCACAAUCACGAAUAAUCAAGCAAUUAAAAGCGGCAAAAGGUAAAACACACAUAGGUUCUUAAACGCAUAAUAAUCAAUUAACUAAGCCAGGUAUGAUUAAAAGCGACCAUGCUAAAACCACGGAAUCCGGGAGUGCCUAACACCUUCUCCCAAGUUAACAGAAUUCCUUACCCGGUCUUCUGGUUUCGCAGACUUUAAAUAGAGUUAAAUUUCCUCAAUUUGGAAUUUAAAUUAAACUGGUGACUUGGGACACCAUAAAUUAUUCCAAGUGGUGACUCUAAAAUAAAAUAAAUAAUCUCAUUUCAAUUAAUAUUACUUUAAUUGGAAAAACUCCCUAUCCAUUGGGAAAAAGGAGGUGUGACAACAUUCACCACUUGAAAUGGCCUACUCCAUUUUGACUUCAACUUGCCCGGAAACAUCCGUGACCAGGAAUUGAACAAUAGAAGAAGAUUACCCUCUUUAAACUUCUUGUUGUGGAUGUACUUGUCAUGGAGGUACUUCAUCUUCUCCUUGUAAAGGGACGAGCUCGUAUAGGCAUGAUACCGAAAUUCAUCUACCUCAUUCAAUUGUUCCACUCUUAAGUUUUUGGCAACAUCCCACUCAAGGUUCAACUUCUUCAAUGCCCACAUGGCCUAAUGAUCAAGUUCCAUCGGAAGAUGACACGCCUUCCAAAACACCAAUCGAUAUGGAGACAUCCCAAUCGGCGUCUUGUAGGAUGUCCUAUAAGCGCAAAGAGCUUCAUCAAGCUUUCUUGACCAAUCCGUCCGGUUGGCAUUCACAGUUUUUGACAAAAUACUUUUGAUCUCUCGAUUGGAGACUUCAACUUGUAUGCUUGCCUGAGGAUGGUAGGGGGUCGAUACUUUAUGAGUGAUACCAUACUUUGUGAGUAAGGUAUCAAAAGACCGGUUGAAAAAAUGCCAACCCCCAUAACUAAUAAUGACUCUUGGGGUCCCAAACCUCGUGAAGAUGUUCUUUUUCAAGAAUUCCACCACACUUCGAGCUUCAUUGUUGGGUAAAGCCACGACUUCAACCCAUUUUGACAUAUAGUCCACAGCUACCAAAAUGUAAGUGUUCCCAUAAGAGCUCACGAACGGUCCCAUGGAAUCAAUACGGCAAACAUCAAAGAUAUCAAUUAUCAAGAUGGUGGUGAGGGGCAUCUCAUUCUUCUUAGAAAUCCCACCGAUCCUUUGACAUUCAUCACAACGCUCGACUAGAUCACUAGCGUCCUUGUAGAAAGUAGGCCAAUAGAAUUCACAACUCAACACUUUUGUUGUCGUUCUCGCUCCACCAUGGUGACCACCAUAAGAUGAAGAGUGGCAAAUCUUAAGAAUUCCCAUUUGUUCUUCCUCUGGCACACACCAUCAGAUCACACCAUUGGUACAUAUCCGAAAAAGAUACGACUCAUCCCAAUAAUAGUCAAGGCAAUCCCAUUUGAGCUUCUUUCUUUGGUUUGAAAAGAACUCAUUCGUUACAAUGCCACUCACAAGAUAGAUUGCUAAAUCGGCAAACCGUGGCAUCCCAGUCAUUUAAAUGGCUAGUAAUUGCUCAUCGAGGAAGAAGUCAUUGAUCUCUAGGCCGUCAUGUGGCCUCCCCUCCUCCUCUAAUUGAGACAAGUGGUCCGCCACUUGAUUUUCACUACCCUUGCGGUCUUGAAUCUCUAGAUCAAACUCUUGCAAUAGAAGCACCCACCGCAUUAACCUUGCCUUAGAAUCUUUCUUGCUCAUCAAAUAUCGAAGCACUGCAUGGUCAGUGUGAACAAUUACCUUUGUACCCAUCAAAUACGGGCGAAACUUCUCCAUAGAAAACACAAUAGCAAAGAGCUCUUUUUUUGUCACUGUGUAGUUGAAUUGGGCAUCAUACAUGGUCUUGCUAGCAUAGUAGACCGGAUGGAAGAUGUGUUUAUUGAUACGUUGCCCUAACACCACUCCAACCACCACAUCACUAGCGACACACAUGAGCUCAAAAGGUAAGCUUCAAUCAUGUGCAGUGAUAAUAGGAGUAGUAGUCAACUUGAACUUUUGCAAUUCGAAUGCCUUCAUACAAUCUUCGUUGAAAUGGAACUUGGAAUCCUUCUCCAAAAUUUUACACAAGGGGUUUACCACUUUGGAAAAAUUCUUGAUGAAUCGGUGAUAGAACCCCGCAUGACCCAAGAAGCUCCUCACUCCCUUCACGGAUGUGGGGGAAGGGAGUUUGGAGAUCACCUCAAUUUUGGCCUUGUCAACCUCAAUACUAUGUGUUGAAAUUUUGUGGCCGAGGACUAUGCCCUACUCGACCAUGAAGUGACAUUUCUCCCAAUUCAACACCAAAUUUUUCUCCUCACAUCUAGCCAAGAUCCUAUCCAAUUUGUUCAAGCAAUCAUCAAAAGAAUUCCCAACCAUGAAAAAAUCAACCAUGAAGACUUCAAGAAUAUCCUCCACCUUGUCGGUGAAAAUAGCCAUCAUAUACCAUUGAAAAAUCGCUGGUGCAUUAUACAAAUCAAAUGGCAUCCGCGAGAAUGUGAAAGUACCAUAGAGACAAGUGAAGGUGAUUUUUUCUUGAUCCUCUAGAGCAAUGAGAAUUUGAUUGUAUCCGGAAUACCCAUCGAGAAAAUAAUAGAAAGCACGUCCGGCCAACCUAUCAAACAUUUGAUCAAGAAAUGGAAGCGGGAAAUAAUCUUUCUGAGUGACUGUGUUGAGCUUCCUAUAGUCCAUGCACACUCUCCACCCAGUGAUAGUUCUUGUGGGGAUCAAUUCAUUCUUGUCAUUUGUUAUCACAGUUAUGCCCCUUUUCUUUGGGACACAUUGCACCGAAGAAGUCCAUGAGCUAUUGGAAAUGGGGUAAACAACCCCAGCAUCCAACUGUUGAUUAUCUCCUUCUUGCCCACCUCUUGAAUUGCUUAAUUUAGCCUCCUUGAUGUUCAACAAAGGGUUUGGCACCCUCCUCCAAAAUAAUAUUGUGCAUGCAAAAGGCGGGGCUUAUGCCCCGGCUAUCCGCCAAUAUCCAUCCAAUUGCUCUUUUCCUCCUUUGUAGCACCUCCAAUGUGGACUCUACCUGCAUGUUAGUCAAACAAGAAGACAGGAUAAACGGUAAAGUAGAAGAAGGGCCAAGGAAUUCAUACCUGAGAUGUGGAGGCAAUGGCUUUAACUCCAAAGUGGGAGGCUCCUUGAUUGAGGGCUUUGUUGGAGGAAUUUUCUGAUUUUAAAGAUCCAAGCAUAGCUUGCAGGGCUUAUAAGUGUAUGACCCUAUUCCUUGCAAUGCAUUCACACACUCCACAUAGCCAUCAUUCUCCUCAUCAUCAUCAAAGUUGAGCAAAAUGACUUCCAGUUUGUCCUCAACUUUCAUUGUAGCACUAGCAUCAUCAAUAGGAUCAGUCACUAAAUCCACGAACGAACAAACUUCAUUGCUGUUUGGUUGCCUCAUAGAUUUGCACACAUGGAAGACCAAUUUUUCCUCACCCACAUGAAAAGUGAGCUCACCGGCUUCUACAUCAACAAGUGUAUUCCCCGUAGAAAGGAAAGGUCUACCCAAAAUGAUAGGCACCUCAAAGUCCACUUCAAAAUCAAGAAUCAUAAAGUCCUCCAGGAGGAUGGACUUGUCAACACGAACCAACACAUCAUCAAUAAUACCCAAAGACCUAUUCAUUGCACAACUACCAUUUGCAACCUCAUAGAUGUGGGUCUUGGUUGCCCAAUUCCCAAAGUUUUGAACACCGAAUAGGGCAUCAAGUUGAUACUCGCCCCAAGAUCACAUAAUGCUUUGGCAAAGUCGGCACUGCCAAUUAUACAUGGGAUUAUGAAAGCACCCGGAUCUUUCAACUUAGGAGCCAUUGAGUGCACAAUAGCACUCACUUGAUGUGUCAUUUUGAUAGUCUCACAAUUCAUUUAUCUUUUCUUUGUCACCAAAUCCUUCAUGAACUUAGCAUAUCCCGACAUUUUCUCCAAGGCCUCAACCAUGGAACAUUAAUAGUCAAACUCUUCAUCAUAUCAAUAAACCUUUUGAAUUGGUUCUUACUAUUUUGCUUUGCAAGCCUUUAAGGGUAAGGAGGAGGAAGCCUUGGCAUUGGUGCAUUAGCCUUUGGCACUACCGGUUCUGACAUGUCAAUCACGUGUUCCCUAGACGGGUUCACUUCUUCUUGCGUCUCCUCCACAUUUUUAUCAAUAUCAAUUCUCACUUCUUCAUUAGCUUGAACAAUAUUGCUUGGAAUUUCAUCUUCUUGAACCACAACAUCAUCAUCCACAAUUCUUCUUUGAUUUGAGGUGGUUGCAUCUCCACCUUUUCCACUUCUUGUAGUCACAGCCAUAGCAUGUCCCAUGUUAUUCCCGCCCUUCGGGUUUACCACCGUAUCACUUGGUAGUGCCCCCUUUGGAUAAGUGUUCAAAUCUUGCAAGAUUUGGCAUAAUUGAACUUCCAAAUUGUUAAUAGAAGUGUUGUGCUAUGCUAGUUGAGCAUCGGAGUUGGAACUCUUCUCCAUCAUCUAUUAAAACAUGUUCUCAAUUCUAACCAUCUCACUGUUAGAAGAGCUCGGACCUUGAGAAGGAUAGGGAGGUGGAUUUCUUGGUUGUUGAAACAUCGGGGGCCUUUGAAAACCCGACCCCCGGUUGUUGUUGUUGUUGUUCCACCCUCCUUGGUUGUUACCUCCCCAAUGCCACUCCAAUUGCCUUGAUUAUUUUGACUAUUCCAAUUUCCUUGAUUGUUCAAAUUUCCUUGGUUGUUUUGAUUGUUCCAACAACUUUGAUUGCUUGAAUUCUAAUUUCCUUGAUUUCCUUGUGGUCGCCAUUGUUGUUGAUUUUUUCCUUGAGCAUUGUUUCUUUGGCCUUGAUAAUUGUUGACAUAUUGUACUUCUUCUUCUUGUUCAUUGAACGAAUCAUCCGGGUCAUACCCACUAUCAUCUUGCAUGAAUUGUUCCGGAUGGCUUUGCUUUUGUUGACUUUUUUGACAUCUCUUGUUUAUCAUCAUAUUCACACCUUCCAUUGCAUUCACUUGUUUCGGCCCUUGAACUCGUUGAAGCUGAGCUGUGGCCAAUUGGUUCAUUGUAGUUGUCAACUCAGCAAUAGCUUGACCAUGAUCAUGUAGUUCCUUAUUUAGGUGAAUGACAUUUGGGUCACCUUGAGGAACAUUGGCUCUACUUUGCCAUGCCGAUGAGGUAUCCACCAUCUCAUCCAAUAUUUCACAAGCUUCGGCAUAAGGCAUGUUCAUGAAGUUCCCACCGACGAGUUGAUUUAUCAUACAUUGUUGUGUUGUGUUAAUCCCACUGUAGAAGGUUUGUUGGAUCAUGGCCUCGGUCAUAUCAUUAUUCGGACACUCUUUAACCAUGAUACGAUAUCUUUCCCAAAUCUCAUGCAAUGACUCAUUGGGUUCUUGCUUGAACGCAAGAAUCUCAUCCCGAAGUGUCUCCAUAUGCGCCGGAAAGAAGAAUUUGGCAAUGAAUAUUUUUGCCAACUCAUCCCAUGUAUGGAUGGAAUGAUUGUGUAAUAUCUCUAACCAGUCCUUAUAGAGAAAAGGAAAAUAGCCUCAAUCGCAGCACGUCCUCGGAGACAUUGGUUUGCUUGCUCCCCCAACAAGUAUCGACGAACCCUUUGAGAUGCUUGUAAUCAUUUUGACUCGGAGCCCCAGUGAAGAUUCUCCAUUACUCAAGUAGUGUAAGUAUCACAUUGGUGAUUUAAAAGUUUUCCGUCCUAAUACGGGGCGGGACUAUAGCACUUGCAUAACCCUCGUUUGGCAAUACCCGGUGACCUGCCGCUCUUGGUGGAGGUGGGGGAUGGACGGGAACAUUAUCCUGAGGCAGUCGGCCUUGCCUAUUUGCUUGAGAUUCAAGAGGAACUUCAUCAACUUGGUCAUUAUUCACGUCCUCCCCCAUUAGCAAAUUCCAGAUGGGCUCAUUGUUGAGAGUCAUUCUCAUACCUAAAAUUUUAAAAACAAAGUUAGUGACUCGGAAGGAAAAGAAGACAAAUCACACAAAAAACUAGAUAUAUAGCUAAAUUCGUUUAACUCUCCGGCAACGACGCCAAAAAUUAAUGUCUCCCAAACUCACACCACAAAUAUAGGUUGUGAGGCGAUCGAAGCUAUAAUAAAAACCCAACGCAAGUCGGGGUCAAAUCCACAGGGAGUUAGAUAUGGGAUUAGGUAUAUAGCUAGACUAGGUGUAUGAUGUGACCAAGAUUGCACUUCCACAUAUUUGGUUGUUUCUUUCUUGUUCUAAUGAUUAUGCUAAUGUUUGCAAAUGAAAAACUAAGAGACAAUAUUUUUGGUGUUGUUGUUUUUCAAGUUAAUAAAAGGUCUAGGGUCGUGACUUCCACCUAGGUGGUUACCUAAUGGGUUGUAAACUCUAGGGCAGAUUUGAUUGGUAGGGGUUGUAAUAUAGAAAUCACACGCAAUUACCCACUCAAUACCUCUCGUUAGUUAGAGUAGUUUUUCCCAAUUUGGCUUUCUCAAGUCCAAAUGGGUAUCGCACAAAACAAGUGAUAAAAGCUCAAGUCGGGUAUUACUAUCUCUAGAUUCAAACCUUUAAUUGGGGAUAUCAAUGAGUUCACUCCAAUUUCUUGUUAGCCAAAUUUUCCUAGACUUAGUCUCUCUUUCUCAAGUAGAGACUAAGUCAAUUAGGCAUGAAUCAAUGUUUGCAACCAUUAAUUCUUAAUUUCAAGCAAGAACUAGGCUAAAUAUCACUAACCCAAUCACAAACAAGCCCUAAAUCAAACACCCAUUAAGUACCCACACUAGGGCUGGGUCACAACCCUAGCUAGAAAUUUAGCUACUCAUGGAAAAUGCAAAAAUAAAAGAAGAAAUUAAGAUAAAAUCCAUAAUAGAUGAUUAAGGGAAGAAAAUGUAAUGUUAAAAUGCUAAUAUAGUACAAUGUUACCCAAUACAGUAAAUAAAAAUGACUUAGGUGCUUCCAACUUACAAAAUUUCACUUAAAAAUGACAAAAAGUUCUAUUUAUACUAAGAGGAAAUUGCCCGACGAAAUUGCCCCUGCGAAAGUUGUGCCGCCGCAAUUAUCUGUGUGGUUCGCACCUUGGGACUUGGCUUGACAGGUUCCAGGUUUGCAGCCGCACAAUUCUGGGUUGUGGCCGCACUCCUUCAACUUCUGCGGAUCACACAUUUAUGAGUAUGGCCGCACUCUUCCUUCUGCGGCCGCACAAUUACAGUGCAGUCCGAACUCCUUGACCUUGGGCUUUGGCUUUGUGAGACUUCUGCGGACCGCACAUUUCAUAGUGUGGUCGCGCUUUUGAUUAUUCGGCGGCACAAUAAUGAUGUGGUCCGCAUUUCUUCUUGAACUUCAAAUCCCAUCUCUCUGAUCUUUGCCUUCUACGACUGUAACAGAAUUGUGCGGUCCGUACUUUGUAUAGCAUUUCUUGUCUGAGGGUUUCUUCAUGAUCUGCGACCAUACUCAAUAUUAUGUGGUUCGCAUAGUGCCAUUUUAGCCUCAUUUUGGUCCUUGUCCAAAAUUACACCUUCUUGAGUUGAUUUUGAGCUCUUUAGCUCAUAUUCCAGUACUCCUGCAAGCAAAGACAUUUCAUUAGUUUUCGAAAAUACCUUUAAGCAAUUUUGGUCUAAAAUGAAAGUGAAAGAGCGCAAAUAAGUAGUCAAAAUCCCUACUUAUAAGGCACUGAAAGAUGACUGACCCGGACGAGCAAUGUAUGAACCAUGGCUAGAUAAUGCACCACAAUGAAAUGGAUGAGCCAUCUGAGCGGGCCUAUAAGGACGACCCUUAUUGUGGUGGGACUAUCCUCCACAUGAGGCAUUAUUGAAACCACCAGAACUACGAGGCCUCUUGGCCUCCCUCUCCUCCAACCAUACCAAAAUUAUCAAAUUCCGAUAUCGAAUCGUCCUUCAAAUCCUCAUUUUACAUUUUUGAAAGAUUUUAUAAAAAAUCCCAUUUCUUCUCAUUCAAUUCACUAAUUUAAUGAUAAAAAUAAUUAUGGAAUCAUGAAAUAUAAUUAAUUCCAGAUAACGAACACUUACCCCAAUCAAACACGUGAAGAACCCUUCAAAAAUCGCUCAAAUCCGAGGUCUACAACUCAAAAAGUGAAUAAAUCAUCAAAUCCUCGAAAUAUAUGCUUCUGUCCGGCCCUUUCCGCAUUUACGGACAAAUAUUGCGCAUCUACGCACUCGCAUUUGCGAGCCAAAUUCCACAGCUGCGAUUUCCACUAACCAGUCUAAACCUCAAACCUGCGCAAAAGGGGUCGCACUUGCGACACCGCAGAAGCGCCAAACGAACCACAGAAGCGAACCACUACGCAUCUGCCAUCACGGAGCCGCAAAAGCGGCCAUCGCACCUGCGCACCAAAAUUUACAGAAGCGAAGCUCCCGCCUAGACCUCAACGUUGCAAAAGUGACACAAAUUGCACAGAAUCAACCCCUCAAUUAAGCUCCAAAAUGUGCAGGUGCGACGCACCCGAAGCAGACCCGUCCAAAAGCAUAAAAAUUGUCUGAAACACACCCGGGGGCCCCGGUACCCCGUCCAAACAUACCAAGAAGUUCCAAAACAUAUUGCGGACCUGCUCGAGUACUCCAAUCACAUCAAACAAUGUCAAAACACAUCUCGAAUCGAACUUAAUGAACUUAUGAACUUCCAACUUCUACAACUCACGCCGAAUCAUAUCAAAUCAAUCCGGAAUAACCUCAAAUUUUGCAUGCCAGUCCCAAAUGAUGUAACGGAGCUAUUCCAACUCUCGAAUCGCAAUCCGAGCCCAAUAUCAAUAAAGUCAACUCCCAAUCAAAAAUCUUAACCUUCCAAGCCUUCAACUUUUCAAAUUUUGCCAAAAUGCAUCAAAUCAACCUACGGACCCCAAAAUCCAAAUUCGGGCAUAUUCCUUACAUACACUUUAACAUUAAAAACCCCACACUUAUGUCAAACCAUGACUCCACCUUCACGUCUAAUUACACUAAUCCCCUACUUGUUUAAGCACAAUUACAUCAAGAGUUAUCCUUAUCAAGGAAUAUAUUGCACCACAAUACAAUGAAUUUUUUUUCUUUUCUUUUUCAAUUUAAGUGGAUCUUACUUUUUUAAAUCAUUGCACCUUUCUCCUUAUUUCAAUAGUUCCACUCAAAAGCCAAACCAACCACCUCAUACUUUAUCUUUUACAAAGUUCAUAACAAUUCAAGUGCUUAUGAGAGGAACAAGGUUCAAAUAGAUGGUCAAUUAAAACAAAUGGGUAAGACUUGUAAUGUGGUUGACAAGGAAACAUAAUUACAUGCUCAAAUGGGUUAACUAAGAUGCAUAACAAUUAGGUGGGUAAUAGCAUAUAAUUGAAUCAACAAACAAACAUCUAUAUCACUUUCAAAACUGACUAGACUACCAUUUCGCUUUGCAAACACAUGGGGUCAGUUCUAGACAUCCAAUGCAAUGCACAUAAUAACACAAAACCUCACCACACAUGGCACAUAACUCAUUUAGGAUUAGACUCAUCAAGACACUCUAGUCAAUGUAAUUAAUCAAAGUUAAGAUCAUACAAUUUAAGGUACUUAUACAAGAGUCAAAAACUGAGCCUAAGCAUCACAACUAAAGAAUUCACUAUUCUCAAGGCAUAACAAAGUGAAUAGAUAUUUCUUCCAUUCAAAUCAUAAGACAAGGUUUCCUACUUUUAACGAAAAUAAAAACUAACAACACCCGGUUCAAACAAAACCCUUGAAAAAGAACCGCGACACAAAAAAAAUCAAGGGGGAAUUAAUACACUUCCUAACAAAAGAAAAUCUUUAUGUAUUUUUCCUUCAACUUUAAUCCCUCAAGAAACCUAUUAAAUCAUAUCCAUCAUGGGAAAAAUUGAAGAUUUUAAAAAAAAUUAUGUUUUUUUUCAAAUUGUUUUCUAUCUCUAACUACCAAAAUGAACAAAAAGAAACCAAACUAACAGACAUACAUACAACAUAAAAAUAUCCCCCACCCCACACUUUAGGUUGUGGCAUGUCCCCGUGACACACAAUUAAAAAGCAUAAGGUAGAGGAAACUUCCCCGAAUCUCUAGUCGGGGUCUGAAUCAAAGUCGUGUUCCAUUCUUCGCGGCCAAACUAGUGCACACACCCAUGCAGACAACUUUUUUUCUUCCUUCUUGGGGUACACCCCACACUUAUCUUUCUCAACUACAGCCUUCUCAUUCACACUCUUCAUUUUACAUUCAACACUUGUGUGAUGACCCAAUAGGUCAUCCAGAGUUUUAAACCUUAAUUCUGUAUUUUGAAGCCCCCGAUAGCUUCUUUAAGCCUUCUUCAAUUUGCAUGCGCAGUCCAGGUGUUUUUUCGAAAGGAUUUUAUGUUAAAAAUUGAUAAAAUAUGAAAUUUUGCCUUAAAAACUAUGUGAGUUGACUUCGAUACAUUUUGAGAAAACAGACCGGGGUCUGUGUUUUGAUGGUCCCAGUGGGUCCAUAUCAUGACUUGGGACUUGAGCAUAUACCCAAAAUCGAAUUCAGAGUCCCUAGCUUGAGUUAUCAAUUUUUGCCGUAAUUUGAAAGCUAAAAGGCUUACGACAUUGAAAGUUUGACCAAUGUUUGACUUUGUUGAUAUUGGGUUCAUAUUUUGGUUCCGCGACUUGGUAUAGGUCCAUUACUAUAUUUAUGACUUGUCUGUAAAAUUUGGUAAAAAAUGAAGUUGGUUUGACAUGAUUCCGACGUCCAGUUGUUAAAAUAUAAGUUCAUAAGUUUUCUUGAAAUUUUUAUUUGAUUUGGUGUCCGAUUCAUAGUUCUAGGUGUUAUUUUGGCGAUUUUAUUGCACGAGUAAGUUUGUAUUAUAUUUUUGGACUAUGUGCAUGUUUGGUUUGGAGCCCCAAGGGCUCGCGUGAGUUUCGGAUAGGCUACAGAGUGAGUUUGGAGUUAGGAAAAAUGCUGGUGUGCUUCAGUUUUGGUGCAGGUCUCUGACCUCGGAAUUGCAAGGUCAUUGUUUGCAGUUGCAAGGAACCCAAUUCUUGUCUUGCUCACAAUUGCGAAUAUGGCUAGCUCAGCAAGGGAUCACAAUUGUGAUCAAAAGGUUGCAUUUGCAGGGGACCAGAGUUCGCAUUUGCGAACAUUUUAUAGCAGAUUUUUCGCAUUUGUGGGGGUUCGCAAUUGCUAACCCCAGGUUGCAAUUGCAACAUCUGCAACUGUCAAAAGCUGAGUUAGACAAGAAUUUUCUCAUUUUUCAAAUUUUCAAACCUAGAGAACCGUAGAGACGAUUUUCCCAAGAUCGCUUCUUCCCCAAUUCAUUGGUAAGUGAUUCUAACCUAUUUUCUUCCAAUCUUUCAUUACAUUCCAUAAGAUUUCAACCUAAAAUCUAGAAUUUUCAUGGUGGAAAUUGGGGGUUUAGGUAGAAUCAGGGAUUUUUUUGUAAAAUUAGAAUUUAGACCUCAAAUUGAGGUCGGGUUUUGAAACAAACUGCAUAACCGGGCUCGGGGGUGUAUGGGUAAUCGGGUUUUGGCUUGAAUUUCAUGUUUGGACCAAGCGGGCUCAGGAGUUUACUUUUGUUGACUUUUUCAAUAAUGACCUAAAUUAAAUGUUUUUCAUUCGUGGGUAGUUCCUAAGGCUUAUUUUGAAUUGUUUGGUUGAUAAUUUUCUAGAUUUGGUUGAUUCGCAGGCUUGUUUGAAAGGCAAAGUCGUGGUUGAGCUUUGAGUUGAUUUUAGAGCCAGGUAAGUGUCGUGGUUAACCUUGACUUGACGGGUUAGCACUUGUUUGCCUAUUUUCAACUUGUUUAAAUAUUGGGUACAAUGUUACCCAAUGUAUAUGUGAGGUGAUGAGUACUUAUGCAUUGUUGUUGGGUCAAUGCAUGCGGGUGGGACUUGUUUCUUGUGAUUUAUUGCUUUCUUUGAUCAUGAUAUCUAUGCUUACACUAGUUAGUUACUAAAUUGAUAGUUCUUUCCGCAUUUAUGGGUUAUCUGUGAUAAUUUGAAUAUUGUAUUUGAAGUUGAGGUUGGUAUUGUGAAACCAUUGUUGACGUAAGGUCUGUUCUUGCUUACUCUACCACCUUAUUUUUAUAUGUUCAUUAUUUCAUUGUAUGGGAGAGUCUUAAAGCACGAAGGGUGAUGUCGUGCCGUAUUUGAGUGUUAAAGCAUGAAGGGUGAUGUCGUGCCAUAUUUAUUGAUUCAUGAUGAUAUUGAGUGUUAAUGCAUGAAGGGUGAUGAUGUGCCGUAUUUAUCAUUUUAUGGUGACGUUGAGAGUAAAAGUAUGAAGGGUGAUGUCCUGUCAUUAUUACUGUUUCAUGGUGAGGUUGAGAGUGAAAGCAUGAAGAGUGAUGUCGUGCACUUUUUGCUCAUUAUAUAUAUAUCUGUUUCCUUUCUUGAAAGUUUGCUGACUGUUCUUAUUAUCAUUCCCUGUUGUAGUUACCAUAUUUUGUACCCCCUUUCGCAUGUCCCCUCAUAAAAGUACAUGUUUAGCCUUUAUUUGUUAUUAUGUUGUAUGCAUAUUGUUAUCUAUACAGGUUUAUUCACAUGGGUGUCCUGUCAUAGCCUCGUCACUAUAUCGUUGAGGUUAGGAUCGACGCUUACAGAGUACAUUGGAUCG